UACAGAGGGGGCGAGCGUUGUUCGGAAUUACUGGGCGUAAAGGGCGCGUAGGCGGCCAACUAAGUCAGACGUGAAAUCCCCUGGCUCAACCAGGGAACUGCGUCUGAUACUGGAUGGCUUGAAUCCGGGAGAGGGAUGUGGAAUUCCAGGUGUAGCGGUGAAAUGCGUAGAUAUCAGGAAGAACACCCGUGGCGAAGGCGGCUCUCUGGGACGGUA
rnacentral:rRNA from 1 species